UGCUUGCUCAGAUCUGAGAAGCAAGAUAAAGCACUGCUUUCUCCUGUCCCUUACAGAUAUUGCUGCAUGGAUGAAUUUCUUAACGGGUUUGUUGGGGAAUUAUUUUCAUUUUUUUUUUUGAUUGAUUUUCUAAAGGAGAUGUUUUGCAUUGGUGAGAGUUGAGUUCCAGCAAAUCAGAGUAUGGUGUUCUCUCAUGCUCAUGUUAGUGUUUCUGUGUCUGUUCUUUGACUCAUGUUUUUUCUCAGCCAUAUGUAUUGCUUUUCAACUCUUUCGGGUUCAAACUCAUUAUAGUAAUGACCAAAUGAAUCCUAUCUCUCAUCUUGCAAAACAUUCCAUUCCUUCUUGAAAAUUCAUACACGCUCAUGGCCUGGCUCUGGGCAAGAAGGUGGCCCAGCACAUGGGACCCCUCAGUAUGAUCACUUGCUGUGGGCUUGCUGCAUGAUGUUCCACAGGCUUUUCCGUAUCAGUGUUUCACUUGUAAAAAGGGAACUGAACACCCUCCUUGUCCUACUGUGGAAGAUUGUGAGGUAUGCCUUUGUACCGUGUGCUCAGGGCGCAGUGUUGGCAGCAGGGCCUGUGUGAGGAGAGGCCAGGGCUGCCUGGUGCCAGUCCCAACCGGUCCCAGCCGGCUCCAGGCCCCACCGCAGGGCACAGCAGAGCCCCUCAGUGCCGCCAAUGCUGCCACUAGGAAACUUGUCACUACCCAAAUCUGUUUUGAUCAGCAAUACAUCUCCCUUCACUUGGCACUCUUUAGACUCUUUAGUAUAGAGGAGGAGAUUGAGAGGAAAGAGACAGGCCCUUCACAGUGCUACACAGUGGGAGGACAAGGGACAACAGACAUAAAUUGAAAAAACGAGAUAUUUCACCUGGAUACGGUGAAGAACUUUUUCACCAUUAGGAUAGUAAGGCAUUGGAACAAGUUGCCUAAAGAGGGAGGCAGGCUGUGUGGCCUUGGAGGAUUUCAGACCUGACUGGAUAAAGCCUUGAGCCAGCUCGUCUGAGCUGAGCAGGAAGAGGAGCUGGAGGCUUCCAGUUUGAGGUACUGUACGGCUCAGUGAAUGUCUGCAGGAAUAACCUAGAGGCACUGAGGAGCUAGUUGUGUGGGCAUAAAUAUUCUCGAGUGUUUUAAAAAUGAAUGAAAAAGAACAGGUUUAGGCCAGGUGGCUGAAUGAGGAAAAGCGAAAUAGGGACAAACAAUUUGAUUAUUUCACAUCACUGUCACGCUGCAAUUUCCAAGUCGUGUCACACAUUCAUCUGAAGAAGCCUGAAAACUUCAGAGCAAGACACUGUAAAUAAUUGCACCCUAGACUGAUGGCGGGCAGCUUAGAUGGGAAGGACUGUCAGAACUGGUCAAGAAGCGUGGGAUUUAGCUGCCUACAGGAAGAUAUCUAAUGGAGCUGGCUAAUACAACACAGGACUUGAUAGAGACCACGCACCGGAUUAACGCAGAAGAGAAGCAGAUCUCCGAGAAUAACAGCCUGGAAAAUGCAGUGAAGCUGUGCUGAUGGACCAGAGCAGCCAGGCCGCUGACAAUCAAGGAAAGCAGCAGCAGGUUAUCAGAAUAUUCCCAGCUUCCAGGUUGCUGAAAGAUAUUUGCGUAAGGGAAGUGCAGCUGUCAUGUUAUGUGCUGUCACAUCGUGAUCUUCCUUCAUUUCUCAGUAGACAUGUGUAUCUUACAUAGCAGGUGGUGUACAACCUGCAGAACAAUCCAUCACUAUUAUGGACAAAGUGACCUAGUCAGAAGUGCCCACUGAAAUUAGCAUUAUGGGAAGACCACGGAGCUUGGUUCAUGCUAUGUUAAAAUUGUGUUGAUGACGUUGACAACAAGUGUAUGUUGAAAGACCAGUGCAUUUAAAAUGAAUAUUUUUGUUGGCUUCACAGGAACUGUGAAGUUAGUAGCAGCCAAGUAUGUGUAAUGCUAUGACUAAUUUCCAGGUUUUCAAACUAUACUAUAAAUACAAGAGUACUCCUCAAUUUUGGUGACUAUAUUUUAUCCAACUUGAGAACUUUCCUUAUAAUCUCUGGAGGCUUAGAACGCCUUCCCCAGAAAUGGCUCUAGGAAACAGUGUACAUGUAAUCCUCUGAUUUACACAGCAGAGCAGGACUUCAGUGAACUCAGUAUCUAAGCAAUUUUUUUCUUUCUAUGAAGAUAUUAAGUAUCUUCCACAGAAAAAUCCUCCACAAUCUUAUUUGUAGAAUGCUCAUGUACUAAAUACUCAUAAUUAUGUCAUGGCUUGCGUCAUGUCACUAAAUAGUCCUGUCAGAGAGAGAAAGUCUUCCAGGCAUGUUAUAGUUACGUAACAGCAAUGCUGUUCUGUUAGGCAGUGUAAUGCAUAGCAAGAGAGAACCUCCAGGGGUUUACAGUGAGCAAAGCAAGUAAGCAAGGCGAGAAAGGACCCUGGGGAGUGGAGCUGAAGGUAUGCUCACGCUGUAGGUCAUGGUCA